rfam:Roseivivax lentus strain DSM 29430 genome assembly, contig: Ga0111641_115
GGGCACCUACGGGGGCCUAUAUCCGAAGGACGGCAGCAACCGUCCCUCAUCACAUCAAGCGCGGUGCUCCCGAUCGGGGAAAGCCGGGCUGCAUAUACGGAAGACAGAAA